UGUGUGAUACUUUAUCAUAAUAUACAAGUAUGUUAACAAAAAAAGGUGAAGUUCUGCAGGCAUAUCUUAUAGUUAUGCAGUUCUUGAUUCGUCUGGGCUUGGAUUAUAUGAGGUUUUUCGCAAUUUUACUGAAACUACUUUAUAAAGAAAAAUAAAUUCACGUGCUACCACUGAAGUCCAAGUAUAGUAUUCGGUCGUUUUCACAUAAAAAGUGACAGAGCGUGAUACUGUACGGUUGAAUAGUGUAGAAAAAGCAACCAGCCGCGAGAAUUCAAAAUACAUUGAGUUAUAAUGCGGCCUGUUGUAUUUUGGACAGAGAAUUUUAAAUAACAUCUUGAACUUGCGUUUGACAUCGCAGCUAUCCCUGUCUAUCUAAACAAAUUCGAGAAAAUAUCUAGCGAUUAGAGGGUUCCAAGUAUCUACUUUCAGAAGUACUA